rnacentral:rRNA from 1 species
UACAGAGGUCUCAAGCGUUGUUCGGAUUCAUUGGGCGUAAAGGGUGCGUAGGCGGCGCGGUAAGUCGGGUGUGAAAUCUCGGAGCUUAACUCCGAAACUGCAUUCGAUACUGCCGUGCUUGAGGACUGGAGAGGAGACUGGAAUUUACGGUGUAGCGGUGAAAUGCGUAGAUAUCGUAAGGAAGACCAGUGGCGAAGGCGGAUCUCUGGACAGUUCCUGACACUGAGGCACGAAGGCCAGGGGAGCAAACGGG